UACGUAGGGUGCGAGCGUUGUCCGGAAUUAUUGGGCGUAAAGGGCUCGUAGGCGGUUUGUCGCGUCGGGAGUGAAAACCUUGGGCUUAACUCAGGGCUUGCUUUCGAUACGGGCAGACUAGAGGUAUGCAGGGGAGAACGGAAUUCCUGGUGUAGCGGUGAAAUGCGCAGAUAUCAGGAGGAACACCGGUGGCGAAGGCGGGUCUCUGGGCCGAAACUGACGCUGAGACGCGAAAGCGUGGGGAGCAAACAGG
rnacentral:rRNA from 1 species